rnacentral:rRNA from 1 species
AACGAACGCUGGCGGCAUGCCUAACACAUGCAAGUCGAACGAAACCUUCGGGUCUAGUGGCGCACGGGUGCGUAACGCGUGGGAACCUGCCCUUAGGUUCGGAAUAACUCCCCGAAAGGGGUGCUAAUACCGGAUAAUGUCUUCGGGCCAAAGAUUUAUCGCCUUUGGAUGGGCCCGCGUUGGAUUAGCUAGUUGGUAGGGUAAAAGCCUACCAAGGAGACGAUCCUUAGCUGGUCUGAGAGGAUGAUCAGCCACACUGGGAAUGAGACACGGCCCAGAAUCCUACGCAAGGGAGGAGUGGGGAACAUUGGACAAGGGGCGAAAGCCUGAUCAAGCAAUGCCGGGUGAGUGAUGAAGGGCUUAGGGUUGUAAAGCUCUUUUACCCGGGAUGAUAAUGACAGUAACGGGAGAAUAAGCUCCGGCUAACUACGUG